GAUGAACGCUGGCGGCGUGCCUAAUACAUGCAAGUCGAGCGAACAGACGAGGAGCUUGCUCCUCUGACGUUAGCGGCGGACGGGUGAGUAACACGUGGAUAACCUACCUACAAGACUGGGAUAACUUCGGGAAACCGGAGCUAAUACCGGAUAAUAUAUUGAACCGCAUGGUUCAAUAGUGAAAGACGGUUUUGCUGUCACUUAUAGAUGGAUCCGCGCCGCAUUAGCUAGUUGGUAAGGUAACGGCUUACCAAGGCGACGAUGCGUAGCCGACCUGAGAGGGUGAUCGGCCACACUGGAACUGAGACACGGUCCAGACUCCUACGGGAGGCAGCAGUAGGGAAUCUUCCGCAAAGGGCGAAAGCCUGACGGAGCAACGCCGCGUGAGUGAUGAAGGUCUUCGGAUCGUAAAACUCUGUUAUUAGGGAAGAACAAAUGUGUAAGUAACUAUACACGUCUUGACGGUACCUAAUCAGAAAGCCACGGCUAACUACGUG
rnacentral:rRNA from 1 species